GACGAACGCUGGCGGCGUGCUUAACACAUGCCAGUCGAACGGAAAGGCCCUGCUUUUGUGGGGUGCUCGAGUGGCGAACGGGUGAGUAACACGUGAGUAACCUGCUCUUGACUUUGGGAUAACUUCAGGAAACUGGGGCUAAUACCGGAUAGGAUCUCCUGCUGCAUGGUGGGGGUUGGAAAGUUUCGGCGGUUGGGGAUGGAUUCGCGGCUUAUCAGCUUGUUGGUGGGGUAGUGGCUGACCAAGGCUUUGACGGGUAGCCGGCCUGAGAGGGUGACCGGCCACAUUGGGACUGAGAUACGGCCCAGACUCCUACGGGAGGCAGCAGUGGGGAAUAUUGCACAAUGGGCGGAAGCCUGAUGCAGCAACGCCGCGUGCGGGAUGACGGCCUUCGGGUUGUAAACCGCUUUCGCCUGUGACGAAGCGUGAGUGACGGUAAUGGGUAAAGAAGCACCGGCUAACUACGUG
rnacentral:rRNA from 1 species